rnacentral:rRNA from 1 species
CCGGAAGACCAAGGGUUCCUGUCCAACGUUAAUCGGGGCAGGGUGAGUCGACCCCUAAGGCGAGGCCGAAAGGCGUAGUCGAUGGGAAACAGGUUAAUAUUCCUGUACUUGGUGUUACUGCGAAGGGGGGACGGAGAAGGCUAUGUUGGCCGGGCGACGGUUGUCCCGGUUUAAGCGUGUAGGCUGGUUUUCCAGGCAAAUCCGGAAAAUCAAGGCUGAGGCGUGAUGACGAGGCACUACGGUGCUGAAGCAACAAAUGCCCUGCUUCCAGGAAAAGCCUCUAAGCAUCAGGUAACAUCAAAUCGUACCCCAAACCGACACAGGUGGUCAGGUAGAGAAUACCAAGGCGCUUGAGAGAACUCGGGUGAAGGAACUAGGCAAAAUGGUGCCGUAACUUCGGGAGAAGGCACGCUGAUAUGUAGGUGAAGCGACUUGCUCGUGGAGCUGAAAUCAGUCGAAGAUACCAGCUGGCUGCAACUGUUUAUUAAAAACACAGCACUGUGCAAACACGAAAGUGGACGUAUACGGUGUGACGCCUGCCCGGUGCCGGAAGGUUAAUUGAUGGGGUUAGCGGUAACGCGAAGCUCUUGAUCGAAGCCCCGGUAAACGGCGGCCGUAACUAUAACGGUCCUAAGGUAGCGAAAUUCCUUGUCGGGUAAGUUCCGACCUGCACGAAUGGCGUAAUGAUGGCCAGGCUGUCUCCACCCGAGACUCAGUGAAAUUGAACUCGCUGUGAAGAUGCAGUGUACCCGCGGCAAGACGGAAAGACCCCGUGAACCUUUACUAUAGCUUGACACUGAACAUUGAGCCUUGAUGUGUAGGAUAGGUGGGAGGCUUUGAAGUGUGGACGCCAGUCUGCAUGGAGCCGACCUUGAAAUACCACCCUUUAAUGUUUGAUGUUCUAACGUUGGCCCCUGAUCGGGGUUGCGGACAGUGUCUGGUGGGUAGUUUGACUGGGGCGGUCUCCUCCUAAAGAGUAACGGAGGAGCACGAAGGUUGGCUAAUCCUGGUCGGACAUCAGGAGGUUAGUGCAAUGGCAUAAGCCAGCUUGACUGCGAGCGUGACGGCGCGAGCAGGUGCGAAAGCAGGUCAUAGUGAUCCGGUGGUUCUGAAUGGAAGGGCCAUCGCUCAACGGAUAAAAGGUACUCCGGGGAUAACAGGCUGAUACCGCCCAAGAGUUCAUAUCGACGGCGGUGUUUGGCACCUCGAUGUCGGCUCAUCACAUCCUGGGGCUGAAGUAGGUCCCAAGGGUAUGGCUGUUCGCCAUUUAAAGUGGUACGCGAGCUGGGUUUAGAACGUCGUGAGACAGUUCGGUCCCUAUCUGCCGUGGGCGCUGGAGAACUGAGGGGGGCUGCUCCUAGUACGAGAGGACCGGAGUGGACGCAUCACUGGUGUUCGGGUUGUCAUGCCAAUGGCACUGCCCGGUAGCUAAAUGCGGAAGAGAUAAGUGCUGAAAGCAUCUAAGCACGAAACUUGCCCCGAGAUGAGUUCUCCCUGACUCCUUGAGAGUCCUGAAGGAACGUUGAAGACGACGACGUU